ensembl:snRNA U6 U6 spliceosomal RNA
GUGCUUGCUUCAGCAGCACAUGUAUUAAAAUUGAAACAAUACAAAGAAGAUUAGCAUGGCCCCUGCACAAGGAUGGCAUGCAAAUCCAUGAAGCAGUCCUUUUUUUU